rnacentral:tRNA from 12 species
AGGAGUGUAGCUCAAUUGGUAGAGCGCCGGUCUCCAAAACCGGAGGUUGCGGGUUCAAGUCCCUCCACUCCUGCCA